GAGUUUCUAACCGAUGAAAAUGGUCUUAAUAUACACGGGACAUAGAUUUUUCUACUUGCCCUCACUAAACUCAAAUUUACUUUGCUCACUGAGAACGAGUUUUGUUCUUCGUUUCUAAAAUUUUAAACAUGAUUGCCCAUUUGGCGUCAAGGACGAGUUUAGUAGUCGCAAUCUAAAAGACUUCAAAUCAUCAAGUCAAUGGAGCUUCAGGCGUUUGUUUUUUUUAUAUAUAUCUACAACACUAAUUUACCAUCACUACUCGAUAACUUCCUUUUUUUCUUCAAAAAUAUUGAAGCUUUCUUAUCUAAUCAGAAAAUGAGGUUCAUCCUUCGUUCCAUUUGUUUCCUACUCCUCGUUUCAAGUUUUUCUAAACACUUUUGUUUCAUCUACACAACACUUGUGUGAUUCUGACCAAAGGGAUGCUCUUCUUGAGUUCAAGAAAGAGUGUUUGAUCCAGAAAACUACUUGGGUUGAUUUAAAGUGAUUGUUAUUCUUGGGAUGGCGUGUGAUGCUAAGUCAGGCAAAGUGAUUGGGCUAGACCUUAGUGACGACUUCCUCCAUGGCAAGCUCAAAUCCAAUAGUAGUCUUUUUAGACUUCGUCACCUGCGUGAUCUGAACCUUGGUUACAACAAUUUUUCCGGUUCGCCAAUCCCAGCUCAGUUUGAUAAACUUGUGGGGUUAGAAAUGUUGAUCGAUAAUUGAGUUUAGUAUGUCUAAUAAUUAUAUAAGUAAUUAUGUAUGUUAAGUCAAAGUGUGUGUUUGGUUAAAGAGUCGUGUCUAUUAAGUUUAGACAGUUAUGUCUUAAGGGUCACAAGAAAGAAGAGUUGCAUCUCUUAACUUUCAAACCCGAUUGAAGUCUAUUUAAAUAUAAGUUGUAUUACUGGAACACAAGUUGUUCAUUUUGUCUUUUCUAUUGAAUAAAACAGAAGUUCUUUUUCAUUCAAGUUACGUAUUGAUCACGAUCAAUACGAAGUUGAUUUUCUCUCUGUUUUACUCUGUUUCUGUUUUGGAGACUUAAGUUUCUAACAAGAAAGACUUGACCUCUUUUGGUCUUCACUUUCAGAACAAAAUUCCAACCAAGCUUCUUCAGCUAACCAAGUUGUUGUCUCUCCAUCUUUCUUCUUUGGGCUAUUUUUACAUGCCUCUAUCAAUUUAUAAUUCUUUUCUUCAUCUACUUGCUCGAAACUUGAGAAACCUUAGAGAAUUGGAUAUGAGUUUCGUAAACAUUUAUUCAUAAAUCUCCCAUGAAUUUUCAAACAUGUAGUCUCUAAGAUGGCUAAAUCUUGAAGACUGUAACCUAUUUGGAGAAUUUCCAAGCAGUGUUCAUCUGAUACCCAGCUGAGAGUCCAUUAGAUUGUACGAAAAUCCAAACCUGAUAGGCUAUUAAUAUAGUGACUACGCAUCUAUUAAUAUAUCAUGUUUAUUGAAAUAAUUUAAAUAAUCAAGAGAAACAAAUUGAUCAAAAGUAAGCAAAAAUUAAGCAAAAAAAAGCAAGAAAUGAGCAUAACAUAAGUAAAAUUUCUUUAAAAACUGACAAACAAAAUUCACAUAGUCAAAGUUAAGAUUUUAAACAAAUACUUCUAACAAUCAAAUGGAUAGGGUGAAAAAAAUAAAAGUAUUGUCUUCAGCCAAAAGUUAAAUUUUUGUCAAGCCCAUAUUUAUGUAAGAUUUCAAAGUUGUAUGUUAUUUCAUUUUUGGAUCUAAAUAUAAUAUUGUAAAGUCAUAGUAGAAAACCAUAGACCAUGGGCUAUUAAACUUGUCGGCCCAAAUGUUAUUUUUUUGUCUAUUAUAAAGAUGUUGAAGUGUAAUUAUGUAUUUUUAUUUGCAAUAUUGUCUUAAAGUGUUUUUCAUAAUAUUGGCUGAGUAAACAAAAACAAAAGUACAUAUAACAUAACAACGAUAAUCUUGUGUCCGACAAUGGCUUUGUUGGAGACCUAGUGUUUGUUUGGAACCUUUGGACGAUGCUUUUGUGAGAAACAGAUCCAUUCUCAUACAGAAUCGUCCUCGCCGGACACUCUUCUCCGGUCUCGUGGCACACUUGCCAAUUUUUCUGUACGUCUUUCCCCAUUCGUACUAUUCCAAGGAGAUAUUCCUACAUAACUUAUUCUAGUUAACAAAUGCUUGAAUUAUAUAGUUUUGCAGGAGUUAGUGAUCGAAGGUCGGUUGAUCCGCUCGGAUAAUACAAUCAAUCACAUCUCCGUUGAGGCUCUUUUCAAACAAAAAGAAAGUCAAAACAAUUAAACUAAUUUUGCAUAAUUGCAUUUGUAUAUGUAACA
rnacentral:sRNA from 1 species